CGAUGCCCCGGUAGCUCAAUGGUAGAGCUCCUGUAUGUUGUGAGCGAAAGCGCCUAGCUAUAACUACGAGGAGGUCGCAGGUUCGAAUUCUGCCUGGUGGCUA
rnacentral:tRNA from 1 species